GACACAAUUUCCAGAAAGAUCCAAAGCUUGAAAGUAAGUGCAUUCUCAUCAUGUGAAUCACACUGUCUGCAACAACAGAUGGUAUAAAUACCCCAACAGCUGCAGACAUCUUUGUGUCUGUUGAACAACAAGAGCUAGAAAAUUCCAAGAAUAACCAGGUCCACCUUUGGACCAAAAAAGUGAGAAAAUGAAGAACUUUCUCUUUGCACUACUGGCAUUCCUCUUCAUCUUCAGUUUAUGUUAUGCUGAACCUACACAAAAGGAUCUAAAACAGCUGUCGGAACAGGGAAAGAAGUACUUGGAAACAGAAAUUGAAAAUGCUGUCAAUGGAGUACAGCAGAUGAAGCGACUCAUGGAGAAAACGGGAAAAGAACAUGAAGCCUAUUUACAAACUUUAAGAGAAACAAAGCAGAAAAAGGAGGAGGCUUUGAAACUAGCAAAAGAAGCUGAAGAAAAACUUAUCCAGCAACAGGAGGGGUGCAAUGAUACAGUGAUGGCUUUAUGGGAAGACUGCAAGCCGUGUUUAAAGCAUACUUGUACUCGAUACUACUCCAAGGUCUGCAGUACUGGCUUUGGCUUAAUGGGAAGACAGCUAGAUGAAUUCCUGAAUGAAACAUCCCCAAUCUCUAUAUUCAUAAAUGGACAAAAGCUUGAUUCACUGUUGAAAACAGAUGAGCAACAAGAAAGAAGAUUUGAAGAUCUAGAGAGCCGUUACACUGUUGUUGAAAAUGGAGUACAUGACAUCUUUGACAAUGGCAUGCAAACCUAUGAAAACACUCAACCAUCAUUUAGGUCUUUCUUUGGAGACUUUGGCGAUUUCAUGAGAAUUCCAUCAUUUUUCCAAAGCUUUGGCUUCCCAUUCCACAGAUCAAGGGUCAUUAGAGAUCAUCAUUCUGUAUUUCAUCACAACUUGUAUGAUCCGUUCCGCCCAUUGUUUGAAAUGACAAGAAAGAUGUUUGAGCAAACUCAACGACUAAUGGAGAAACAAAGGCAUUUUUUCAGGGAUCCAAUUUUUUCAACAGGUAACUACACAGUAACAUCGAAUGAAAGUAAAGAUGGCCAAAUGCAGUGUAAGGAAAUUCGACGCAACUCUGCUGGAUGUCUUCAGCUAAGUGAAAAAUGUGAAAAAUGCAAGGAAAUUAUGUCUUUAGAUUGCUCAGAAAAAAGAUCUAGUGACUCUCUUAGGACAGAGUAUGAAGAUGCCCUGAGGCUAAGUGAAAGGUUUUCCAAAGAAUAUGACGACUACUUGAAGAGAUUUGAAGAGGAAAUGCUUAGUGUCACAAGUGUAAUAGACCGCAUGAAUAAACAGUUUGGAUGGGUUUCUAAACUUGCAGAGGUCACAGGGAAGAAAGAUGGAAUGUUCCAAGUCACCACAAUGUAUUCAAGGUCUGAAAAUAGUGAAGACCCAUCAAAGCCUGCAGAUACUAACGUAACAGUCCAGAUAUUUGACUCACCUGCAAUGACAUUCACAGUUCCAGGAGAGAUCUCAUGGGACGAUCCCAAAUUUAUGGAAAUAGUAACGCAAGAAGCCUUGGAACGUUACAAACAGUUGUCUGAGGAAAUGCAUAUGGUAUAAAUUGUAGUCUGAAGACCAUGAAACAAGUAUACACCUUGGAUGGCUUAGUGGCCACCUUCUGUGAAGAUUGUUCCAGCUGAAUAGAAAGCCAUAACAGAAUGCUGGUAUUUCUCAUGAAAUAUAGUGCUUUUUAGGAGAGUCAUUUAAUAACACUUAAGGCAUGAAAAAUGGCUACUGUGCUUUUAUUGCUACAGAAAUAGACUGCACUAUAAGGAACAUUGCACUUUGCUCAGUAUUACUUCUGUACUUUAAUAAAAUAUUUUGUGAUACUGCA